UACGAAGGGGGCUAGCGUUGUUCGGAAUUACUGGGCGUAAAGCGCACGUAGGCGGACAUUUAAGUCAGGGGUGAAAUCCCAGAGCUCAACUCUGGAACUGCCUUUGAUACUGGAUGGCUUGAGUUUGGGAGAGGGACGCGGAAUUCCAGGUGUAGCGGUGAAAUGCGUAGAUAUCUGGAGGAACACCGGUGGCGAAGGCGGCGUCCUGGACCAAUACUGACACUGAUGAGCGAAAGCCAGGGGAGCAAACGGG
rnacentral:rRNA from 1 species